rnacentral:rRNA from 1 species
GAUCCUGCCUCAGGAUGAACGCUGGCGGCGUGCUUAACACAUGCAAGUCGAACGAAGCACUUAAGAUUGAUUCUUCGGAUGAAGUCUUUUGUGACUGAGUGGCGGACGGGUGAGUAACGCGUGGGUAACCUGCCUCAUACAGGGGGAUAACAGUUAGAAAUGACUGCUAAUACCGCAUAAGCGCACAGGGUCGCAUGACCUGGUGUGAAAAACUCCGGUGGUAUGAGAUGGACCCGCG